CUACACACACGCUACAAUGGGAAGGGACAAUAGGUUGCGAAGCCGCGAGGCGGAGCCAAUCCAGCAAAACUUCCCUCAGUUCAGAUUGCAGGCUGCAACUCGCCUGCAUGAAGUUGGAGUUGCUAGUAAACGCAGGUCAGCCAUACUGCGUUGAAUACGUUCCCGGGGCUU
rnacentral:rRNA from 1 species